GUGAAGCUUAUCUUGGCCAGGUCACCCGUGUUGAAGAAGUUGAGGAUAUCCCUUUACGAAAAGGUAACUAAAGAUGAAGAAUUGGAGAUGUUAAGAAUUCUAUUAAGGUCCACACGUGCAUCGCCAGCAGUAAAGAUCUUUGUUGAGCCAGGGGUCUAAAUACAUGUAUGCCUUAUAGUGGCUUGUAAUCACUUUAGGUCCCUUCAUCUUUUUGAGAGCAAUUGCAGAGACCUGAAUGGUCGUGAUAACGUAUAGUUUUCUAGACUUGGUACCUUUUGUUCUGUAUUUUCUUUGCUUGUGUGAGCUUUUCAGUUGCUGGUUCCUCUCACCCGAUGUAACUGAAACGUGAGCCAAAAGAUUAACUUGGACUGUUUUGGUGAUUCAUUGGCUAUGGUUUAAUACUUUAAUUGGCUACUGCAACAAUUUAUUUACCA